rnacentral:lncRNA from 1 species
GCCACUGAGGAAAGUUGCAAUGGUGAGGUUGAAACAGACUGGGAAUUGGUGGAACUUCUGGCAAGAGCACUUGAUGAUAUUUAUAAAGCCAAACCCCCUCAUAGCAACUCCUACCAUGCUUCAGGGUCCUGGCAGGAGAUACCACCAAAGGUGCUCAGAGUUUGAAAGGUAUCAGUAGCAACACAAAUUUCUUUGGCAAAAUUUGUAAGUAGCUUGAUGUAGAGACACUAACAGUGAGUUGGUGCUAAAUCUUAUGAAGCAGCUACAGGAUUUGGGCUAUCCUCCAAAUGAGCUCACUGGGGAGAUUCAUCUUGUCCUCAAAUUUGACAUAGAUGCCUUCAAUCCAUUGCACUUACCAAGUGCCAGUGGUGAACAGUGUUUUAUCAUGUGA